CCUUCGGGUGGGGAUUAGUGGCGAACGGGUGAGUAACACGUGGGCAAUCUGCCCUGCACUCUGGGACAAGCCCUGGAAACGGGGUCUAAUACCGGAUACUGACCUGCCAAGGCAUCUUGGCGGGUCGAAAGCUCCGGCGGUGCAGGAUGAGCCCGCGGCCUAUCAGCUUGUUGGUGAGGUAAUGGCUCACCAAGGCGACGACGGGUAGCCGGCCUGAGAGGGCGACCGGCCACACUGGGACUGAGACACGGCCCAGACUCCUACGGGAGGCAGCAGUGGGGAAUAUUGCACAAUGGGCGAAAGCCUGAUGCAGCGACGCCGCGUGAGGGAUGACGGCCUUCGGGUUGUAAACCUCUUUCAGCAGGGAAGAAGCGAAAGUGACGGUACCUGCAGAAGAAGCGCCGGCUAACUACGUGCCAGCAGCCGCGGUAAUACGUAGGGCGCAAGCGUUGUCCGGAAUUAUUGGGCGUAAAGAGCUCGUAGGCGGCUUGUCGCGUCGGUUGUGAAAGCCCGGGGCUUAACCCCGGGUCUGCAGUCGAUACGGGCAGGCUAGAGUUCGGUAGGGGAGAUCGGAAUUCCUGGUGUAGCGGUGAAAUGCGCAGAUAUCAGGAGGAACACCGGUGGCGAAGGCGGAUCUCUGGGCCGAUACUGACGCUGAGGAGCGAAAGCGUGGGGAGCGAACAGGAUUAGAUACCCUGGUAGUCCACGCCGUAAACGGUGGGCACUAGGUGUGGGCAACAUUCCACGUUGUCCGUGCCGCAGCUAACGCAUUAAGUG
rnacentral:rRNA from 1 species